GGUCUAGGUUAUCUCUCCCCUUUGAAAGCUAAUGGCGGGGGAGGACUAAGCCCUAUGAUGAAAACCAAUGCCCAGGUCGGGAGACCUUAUUUUUCAGCUAUGGCAAGAAUGAGAUCCGAGCGUAAACCUGGACUGAGCGUGAAGAAGGGAGCCAGAACUGGAAGGCGUUAGGCAAUGAUCGGAAGUUGGACCUGGAGAUAUCAAUUUCUCUCACCCAGAACUGUGGGCUACUGGGAAAUGAUGCCGCAGCCUUGGAAUGCUCCGGGUGAGCAAGGCACAGACCAACAGACACGCCGACAGUACAAAUGGACAGUUCUCCUUUUAAAGUAAUUCUGUGGAGAUGCACUUUAUAACAGGGAUGAACAGAGCAGUAGCAUAACUAGAUGUUACUGGGCCCCACCACAAAUUAAUUUUAGGGCCCCAUCAUAUGCAGAGGUUGCCCUUUUUUACCAAUAUAUGUUGAAAUUGCUCAUUAAUUAGGGCCUCAUGGGGGCCCAUAUUCCUUCUGGGCCCCCCUGCAGCCAUAGAGCCUGCUUCCUCUGUAGUUACACCCCUGGUGCAGAGCUGUUUGGGGGCACUUGGGUGUUCUUACCCUGUCAAUUCAUGUGGGUGUAACUUAAACUCUAUAUGUCCCUUGCAAAAAAUGUUUUGACCCCUGACAGGUCCUCAUAUGGCCUCUCUUCGCUCAUGGGAUCUGCUACCCAGUUGACAAGCAGUAAUAAUCAAAGGGAGUGCUUGACAGCCAUCUUAUUACCCUUGGCACAGGGGGAUGUAAAAAAAAGUGGCGCUUGAUUUAAAGUGGGUGGGGCUUUGUGUAGAUUGUGGGUGUGGUUUGGAAAGAUUAAACAGGGUUAAAAGGUUGAAAUUUCUCAUUGUCAGGGAUGGGUUUGAUUUUUAUGAGACUGUGUUUUACAAGAGGGGGACGCUUAUCGCUGCUUUGUGACCCAUUAGUGUAGAAAGUAGAAAAGGGGCCCUGGCUGAUCAUCUUGCAAACAUUUUGGAUGCUAUAUAAGAUUUUGUUCUGGUUUCCCAUAAAUUCUAGUUAUGAAACUUAUAAUACUGUUACUUCCUAUUACAUAACUACAUGUCUUUAUUAAGGCAAGAAUAGCUUAUCUCAAAAUGUAUGGAGUUACCAUAAAGUGGGUGGGGUUUUGGGCUGGUCUGAGACAUGCCUGGGUACAACUGGGUGUGGUCAAGACAGAUCAGAGUGUGGCCUAAAUUAUGCUGAUUCUUCAUAUUAAAACUGCUCUUUUUAUCACUAA